CCUGAUCCAGCAAUGCCGCGUGAGUGAAGAAGGCCUUCGGGUUGUAAAGCUCUUUUGUCAGGGAAGAAACGGUGAAGGCUAAUAUCCUUUGCUAAUGACGGUACCUGAAGAAUAAGCACCGGCUAACUACGUGCCAGCAGCCGCGGUAAUACGUAGGGUGCAAGCGUUAAUCGGAAUUACUGGGCGUAAAGCGUGCGCAGGCGGUUUUGUAAGUCUGUCGUGAAAUCCCCGGGCUCAACCUGGGAAUGGCGAUGGAGACUGCAAGGCUAGAGUUUGGCAGAGGGGGGUAGAAUUCCACGUGUAGCAGUGAAAUGCGUAGAUAUGUGGAGGAACACCGAUGGCGAAGGCAGCCCCCUGGGUCAAAACUGACGCUCAUGCACGAAAGCGUGGGGAGCAAACAGGAUUAGAUACCCUGGUAGUCCACGCCCUAAACGAUGUCUACUAGUUGUCGGGUCUUAAUUGACUUGGUAACGCAGCUAACGCGUGAAGUAGACCGCCUGGGGAGUACGGUCGCAAGAUUAAAACUCAAAGGAAUUGACGGGGACCCGCACAAGCGGUGGAUGAUGUGGAUUAAUUCGAUGCAACGCGAAAAACCUUACCUACCCUUGACAUGGACGGAAUCUCUGAGAGA
rnacentral:rRNA from 1 species